UACGGUGGGAGCAAGCGUUGUUCGGAUUUACUGGGCGUAAAGGGCGCGUAGGCGGUCAGCACAAGUCAGUUGUGAAAUCUCCGAGCUUAACUCGGAAAGGUCAACUGAAACUGUGCGACUAGAGUGCGGAAGGGGCAACUGGAAUUCUUGGUGUAGCGGUGAAAUGCGUAGAUAUCAAGAGGAACACCUGCGGCGAAGGCGGGUUGCUGGGCCGACACUGACGCUGAAGUGCGAAAGCCAGGGGAGCGAACGGG
rnacentral:rRNA from 1 species